rnacentral:lncRNA from 1 species
GAGAGGACCUCCCCGUCCCCAGGCUAGAGGCUGAGGAGUUGGAAAAGACUCCAGUCUAUUCCCAGAGCAAGUGUAGCAUUGACUGCCUGGAGACUCAGAGCACAGUCCUAGGGCAGCCUUGAGUCUUCUGGGGCUGGGCCAACUCCUCCGCCCACCAGCUAAGCCUCACCCUGGAGGCAAGAGUAACCAAUCCACCCAAUUCCCCUGCUGCUGGACCCCUCCUGGACUACCAGUGCCCAUCGAAACUGCCAAUCCCUUUUGAGCUGGAGGAACCCUCAGGCCUGAAGACCAGCUCUCAAAGACCAAGAGAGGGUAGGGAGUCCAGAGAUAAGUACCUGGACCCAGCAAACUGGUCAGCGGUUGCAGACCAGAGGCACUUGGACAAAGUCUGUCCCACAGGCUUCAAGCUUGCUGGCUGGAGAUCACUUACAGAAAGAUCUUUGGGAAUUAACACAUUCUUAUGGCCAGGGAAUUCAGCUUGCAAUUGA